GACGAACGCUGGCGGCGUGCUUAACACAUGCAAGUCGCACGGAAAGGCCCUGCUUUUGUGGGGUGCUCGAGUGGCGAACGGGUGGGUAACACGUGAGUAACCUGCCCUUGACUUUGGGAUAACUUCAGGAAACUGGGGCUACUACCGGAUAGGAGCUCCUGCUGCAUGGUGGGGGUUGGAAAGUUUCGGCGGUUGGGGAUGGACUCGCGGCUUAUCAGCUUGUUGGUGGGGUAGUGGCUUACCCAGGCUUUGACGGGUAGCCGGCCUGAGAGGGUGACCGGCCACAUUGGGACUGAGAUACGGCCCAGACUCCUACGGGAGGCAGCAGUGGGGAAUAUUGCACAAUGGGCGGAAGCCUGAUGCAGCAACGCCGCGUGCGGGAUGACGGCCUUCGGGUUGUAAACCGCUUUCGCCUGUGACGAAGCGUGAGUGACGGUAAUGGGUAAAGAAGCACCGGCUAACUACGUG
rnacentral:rRNA from 1 species